AGUGAACGCUGGCGGUAGGCCUAACACAUGCAAGUCGAACGGCAGCACAGUAAGAGCUUGCUCUUACGGGUGGCGAGUGGCGGACGGGUGAGGAAUACAUCGGAAUCUACUUUUUCGUGGGGGAUAACGUAGGGAAACUUACGCUAAUACCGCAUACGACCUACGGGUGAAAGCAGGGGAUCUUCGGACCUUGCGCGAUUGAAUGAGCCGAUGUCGGAUUAGCUAGUUGGCGGGGUAAAGGCCCACCAAGGCGACGAUCCGUAGCUGGUCUGAGAGGAUGAUCCGCCCACCUUGAACCUAGGCCAGGUCCCGACCCCUACGGGAGGCAGCCGUUGGGAAUUUUUGACCAUGGGGCGAAGCCUUAUCCCACCCUACCGCGUGGGUGAAGAAGGCCCUCCGGUUGGUAAGCCCCUUUGUUUGGAAAGAAAAGCAGCAGGUUAAUACCCCGCUGUUCUGACGGUACCCAAAGAAUAAGCACCGGCUAACUUCGUG
rnacentral:rRNA from 1 species